AUACGGAGGGAGCAAGCGUUAUUCGGAAUCACUGGGCGUAAAGGACGCGUAGGCGGGUUUGUAAGUCAGGUGUGAAAUCCUACAGCUCGACUGUAGAACUGCACUUGAAACUACAGACCUAGAGUAUGGAAGGGGCAGAUGGAAUUAGUGGUGUAGGGGUAAAAUCCGUAGAUAUCACUAGGAAUACCGAAAGCGAAGGCGAUCUGCUGGGACAUUACUGACGCUGAGGCGUGAAAGCGUGGGGAGCAAACAGGAUUAGAAACCCCAGUAGUCC
rnacentral:rRNA from 1 species